ACCUGGGUGGCUCAGUCAGUUGAGCAUCUGACUUCAGCUCAGGUCACGAUCUCACGGUUUGUGGGUUCAAGCCCCGUGUCAGGCU
rnacentral:tRNA from 1 species